CGGUGAAGCAUGUGGUUUAAUUCGAUGAUACGCGAGAAACCUUACCAGGGCUUGACAUAUACAGGAAUGUUGUAGAGAUACAGCAGCCGCUUGCGGUCUGUAUACAGGUGCUGCAUGGCUGUCGUCAGCUCGUGCUGUGAAGUGUGGGUUAAGUCCCGCAACGAGCGCAACCCUAUCAUCUGUUGCCAGCAUUUAAGGUGGGGACUCAGAUGAGACUGCCGGUGACAAACCGGAGGAAGGUGGGGACGACGUCAAGUCAUCAUGGCCCUUAUGUCCUGGGCUACACACGUGCUACAAUGGCCGGUACAGAGUGAAGCGAAACCGCGAGGUGAAGCAAAACGCAGAAAGCCGGUCUCAGUACGGAUUGGAGUCUGAAACUCGACUUCAUGAAGUUGGAAUCGCUAGUAAUCGCGCAUCAGCAUGGCGCGGUGAAUACGUUCCCGGGCCUU
rnacentral:rRNA from 1 species